AGCUCUGCCUCUGGGGAUGAAGGACAUUUCUAUCCACCAGGAAGAUGCUGGGACAGCCUUUGAGCCUGUCUGAACUUGAACAGCCCAUCAGGACACCCGCAUGCCGAUGGGCUUGCAUGAAGCAGAGGGCAGAGUCACAGCCCCCUCGGGAACCACACCUACUUCCUGACUGACUGAUCUGCUGUACCUCUCAGCUUUGUGUGGGGCACUUGAAGGACCAGAGAUGAGGAAGGCCAUUCACAGCACACCACUGCUCUCAUCCUUUGCUUUCCUGCUGCGAUUCCUAAAGUGACGUCCGCAACAAGGGACAGAUGCUGGAGUCAAGCUGAGUCACCACCCUGGGACCAGCCGUGUGAAAUGGCUUCAGCUUCCUCAUCAUGCACCAGUGACAGCUUCAUGCAUGACCUGUCCCUGCAGCCUCAGCUCUGAGAACACAGCAUUUGUGACACACAGGACACCGAACCAUACGGUGCCAAGCAGCACCUCCCGAAGCACCUGGACUCCGACUCACUACUAUGGUGACAAAUUAAAGGAAGUCCCUGCGGUGGCCCAGCCUCGGUGCUGAACGCCCAAGUGGAUAAACAACAUAAUCACACUCCCAGGUGAAGUGGGGUGGAAGCGCCCAGUUCUGCAGGCUUUGGACAAGCAGCUCUCGUUUUUCAAGAUACUUUCUGGUUUCACAUCAGAGGAACGGCUGGAAGGAAGCAUGCUGAUAAUGGAACACACGGGGUUUUGGUGAAGCUCCCGGAUGUUAAGGAUGGAUACACAGACCCUCUGGGGUGAUCCUGGGUUCUAGAAGAAAGAAAGCUGAACAAACCUUG